CUCCUCUGGAAUCGGAGUUUCAUCACAGAUGUGGAUCAUCAUCUCUGUUAGCUUCCUUAUAGCCACUGCUGCUGGUUUCGCUCUCUUCACACUAAGAAGCAAAAUAAUGGGAAAAUGGAAAAAUAAAGGUGGGAAUGCUGCCCGUUCUGAUUCUGAGGUUGCCCGUACAUCUGAUCUGGCUGCAUCUCAGCCCCUCACCUCCAACUCUGGUUCCAUCACCUCCCAGCAAGUUUUGUCUAGUCACUAGACUCUAGUGGGAUUCAUC